GAAGGGGCCGGACCUGGCCAGGCCAGCGUCCCAGGCUCCUGUGAACGGUGGGAACUGGCUCUGGCGAGGGUGCACUGUCACAGCAUUACUCCACUCAGGGCAGCGCUGCAGGACUCAGGGGCGCACACAUCUGCAGUGCCAGAGAGGCAAGAGGCAGGCGGCAGGGCAAUGCAGAACUGAUGGCUGCAGGGUGCUGGUGGAAGGGAGCAGGGCAACUCGGGGGAAACCGAGGCCAUGGCACGGGAAAGUCCCUGCCCCACUCUCCACUCCCUACCUCCGCUCCUCACGUGGACAUUAUCUCCAGUCGUCCCUUCUGGCGCCAGACCCUGGCCCUUCUCUCUCAAUUCGUGUGGACACGAUCGCGUGGCUGCUUCUCUGACAGAAGAACUAUGUAGGGAAAUCAAACUUCACCGUUUCCUCUCCGAACCUAACGUUAAGGUUUUUAAGUCUGUCUUGUAAUCAAUAUAUUUUUCAUUUUCAUUUCCAAAAUACUAAAGGAGUUUGAUGGAAAUAAAUGAUAAAGAAAUGUGAA